rnacentral:tRNA from 1 species
GGUUGUGGCUCAGUGGUAGAGCACUUGCCUACUACGUGCAAGGCCCUGGAUUCGAUCCUCAGCACCA